GGUGAACGCUGGCGGCGUGCUUAAGACAUGCAAGUCGAACGGCAGUCUUCGGACUGUAGUGGCGCACGGGUGAGUAACGCGUAACUGACCUACCCCAAAGUCGCGGAUAACGAUUCGAAAGAAUCGCUAAUACGUGAUGUGCUAUCAGAUUGUGUUCUGCCAGUAAAGAUUGAUUGCUUUGGGAUGGGGUUGCGUUCCAUCAGCUAGUUGGUGGGGUAAAGGCCCACCAAGGCGACGACGGAUAGCCGGCCUGAGAGGGUGGCCGGCCACAGGGGCACUGAGACACGGGUCCCACUCCUACGGGAGGCAGCAGUUAGGAAUCUUCCACAAUGGGCGAAAGCCUGAUGGAGCGACGCCGCGUGAGGGAUGAAGGCCUUCGGAUCGUAAACCUCUGAAUCAGGGACGAAAGACACUUCGGUGGGAUGACGGUACCUGAGUAAUAGCACCGGCUAACUCCGUGCCAGCCGCCGCGGUAAAAC
rnacentral:rRNA from 1 species